CGGGACGGGCGAGUAAUGUCUGGGAAACUGCCUGAUGGAGGGGGGUAACUACUGGAAACGGUAGCUAAUACCGCAUAACGUCGCAAGACCAAAGAGGGGGACCUUCGGGCCUCUUGCCAUCGGAUGUGCCCAGAUGGGAUUAGCUAGUAGGUGGGGUAACGGCUCACCUAGGCGACGAUCCCUAGCUGGUCUGAGAGGAUGACCAGCCACACUGGAACUGAGACACGGUCCAG
rnacentral:rRNA from 1 species